GACGUAGGGGGCCAGCGUUGUUCGGAAUUACUGGGUGUAAAGGGUUCGUAGGCAAUGUGGCAAGUCGAAAAUGAAAUCUCUGGGCUCAACCCAGAGACUGCUUCCGAAACUGCUGUGCUUGAGUGUGAGAGAGGCUCGUGGAAUUGCAGGUGUAGCGGUGAAAUGCGUAGAUAUCUGCAGGAACACCCGUGGCGAAAGCGGCGAGCUGGAUCACUACUGACGCUGAGGAACGAAAGCUAGGGGAGCAAACAGG
rnacentral:rRNA from 1 species